rnacentral:misc_RNA from 1 species
AACGCACCUUGCGCUCCUUGGUAUUCCGAGGAGCAUGCCUGUUUGAGUGUCAUUAAAUUCUCAACUACGCCAGUUUUUACAAUUGGUUGUGGUUUGGAUGUUGGGGGUACACCUGCGGGCCUCUGAUCGAGGUCGGCUCCCCUGAAAUGUAUUAGCGGAACUGUUUGCGGUCAGUCACCGGUGUGAUAAUUAUCUACGCCCAAGACAAUGGCUGCUCUCUAUGUGUUCAGCUGCCAAUCGUCCAUUUAUGGAUAAAUUUUGAAUAUUUGACCUCAAAUCAGGUAGGACUACCCGCUGAACUUAA